rnacentral:tRNA from 1 species
CCGCGAGUGGUGAAAUUGGUAUACACGUAUGCCUUAGGAGCAUAUGCCAAUCGGCGUGCUGGUUCAAGUCCAGUCUCGCGGACCA